GAUUCAGGUGUGAACAGGUGACAUCAGGUGUAAACAGGUGACAUCAGGUGUGAACAGAUAGAUUCAGGUGUGAACAGAUAGAUUCAGGUGUGAACAGGUGACAUCGGGUGUGAACAGAUAGAUUCAGGUGUGAACAGAUAGAUUCAGGUGUGAACAGGUGACAUCGGGUGUGAACAGAUAGAUUCAGGUGUGAACAGAUAGAUUCAGGUGUGAACAGGUGACAUCGGGUGUGAACAGAUAGAUUCAGGUGUGAACAGAUAGAUUCAGGUGUGAGCAGGUGACAUCAGCUGUGAACCGGUGACAUCAGGUGUAAACAGAUAGAUUCAGGUGUGAACCGAUGACAUCAGGUGUGAACAGGUGACAUCAGGUGUAAACAGAUAGAUUCAGGUGUGAACAGGUGACAUCAGGUGUGAACAG